GGGAAUCUUCCACAAUGGGCGAAAGCCUGAUGGAGCAACGCCGCGUGGGUGAAGAAGGUCUUCGGAUCGUAAAACCCUGUUGUUAGAGAAGAAAGUGCGUGAGAGUAACUGUUCACGUUUCGACGGUAUCUAACCAGAAAGCCACGGCUAACUACGUGCCAGCAGCCGCGGUAAUACGUAGGUGGCAAGCGUUGUCCGGAUUUAUUGGGCGUAAAGCGAGCGCAGGCGGUCUUUUAAGUCUGAUGUGAAAGCCUUCGGCUUAACCGGAGUAGUGCAUUGGAAACUGGGAGACUUGAGUGCAGAAGAGGAGAGUGGAACUCCAUGUGUAGCGGUGAAAUGCGUAGAUAUUAGGAGGAACACCAGUUGCGAAGGCGGCUCUCUGGACUGUAACUGACACUGAGGCACGAAAGCGUGGGGAGCA
rnacentral:rRNA from 1 species